UACGAGGGGGGCGAGCGUUGUUCGGAAUUAUUGGGCGUAAAGGGUGCGUAGGCGGUUUGAUAAGUCUUGUGUGAAAUCUCUGGGCUCAACCCAGAGUCUGCAUAGGAAACUGUCGGGCUUGAGUAUGGGAGAGGUGAGUGGAAUUUCCGGUGUAGCGGUGAAAUGCGCAGAUAUCAGGAGGAACACCGGUGGCGAAGGCGGGUCUCUGGGCCGAUACUGACGCU
rnacentral:rRNA from 1 species